GUCCUUGCUCCAUCACUUCCCGUCCCGGAUCGCGGCGCGGGGCAUUUUCCCCAAGCGCCUUCACGCACCGCGCCCAGGCGGCCGCGCCGGAGCAUCCCGCGCACACGCAUUUCCUGCGCCCCCGGAAGUGGCGGUAACGCCAGGCCCUGCCCCCGGCAGAGGCGGAAGCGGAAUCGCCUUGAGAGAUCUCCCGUCGCCGCAGGCGCCUCAGCCCGGCCGCGCGCCUUCGCCCUUGGCCCUUGGCCGCCUGCCCCUACCGCUCCGGGGGCUUGCUGCGGGCGCGGCGCUGCCGGGCCAGUGCUUCUGUGGAAUGUCUUCCAGAGGUGCGGCCUGGCCCCGCCCGGGCACCUCCCGCCUCCGCGGCGACCGCCCCGACCCCCGCGGCCGCCCCCGUCCCUGCCCCGACCGACGCGGCCGCUCCCGUCCCCUGCCCGGUCCCCUGCGGUCUCCCCCGUCCCCUGUGGCCGCCCCCGCCUCCUGCCCGGUCCCUGCCCUGUGCGUUGGGCCCUUCCAGAGGUGCAGAGUAGCCGCUGCAGACCCGAGGUCGCGGCCACCGGCUCCCGGGCUAGGCCCUUUUUCUCGCCUCAGGAGCCGCCGGGCGGAGGGUCUCCAGGGGUGCUUGUUCGGGGAAAGCAGAGACAGAAUGUCUGGGCGCUGUUAAGUGUCAGCAGCCGAGGAAGCAGCAGCGACCUGGCGUCUGCUCGGGGCAGGGUUGAUAAAGACAGGAGUGGAGUGAUAUCGGACACCGAGCUUCAGCAAGCUCUCUCCAACGGAUGAAGCCCACUUGCCCUUCAGGAUGCAAAGCCCUCUUCUCUAAAGUGCCUGCCGGGCCAGGUGCAGUGGCUCACGCCUGACCUCCCAACACUUUGGGAGGCCGAGGCAGGGGGAUCGCUUGAGCACAGGAGUUUGAGACCAGCCUGGGCAACAUUGUGAGGCCCUGUUCCUUGAAUUGCCCUGGGACAUUUCCUCAGCUUGUGCUGGGGGCAUGUGGCCCCAUGAAGCCCGUAGUCACUGUCCACCCCGAGGGACGCUGGCUUUGGGGCUCACACGCCUGCUGCGGGGCAGCCCCAGGAGAUGGCCGCCCUGUUCCUCCCUGGAGCUGGAGCUGCAAUGUGUGCUCAGCAGCUGUGGUGGCUGUUCUGUUCUGUUUGCGUCUUAUAAACCAUUUACCUGAUUACAUUUUCCUCUUCAAUUUAGCUGCUGGAAAAUUUAAAGUCUGGUUGGUGGCUCGCCAGUAAUGAGAGUUUAGAGUAGAGGUAAACUUUAUGACAGUCUUAGACCUCUUCACUUUCUCCUCAGCCAACAUGGUUAACAUUUACUUUAUUUUGCUGUACUGUGUCUUUGUGUUUCCUGAGUUCCUUCUGGAAUAAGGCGGGUCAUUAGUGAGCACAGGUUUCUGGUCGUCUCACAGCCUCAGGCAGUGGGCGGUGCUGUCCGUGCUCCCUUUCCGGUUGCCUGUGGUAGCUCUCAAGUUGCAGGGCUGCGAUUUGAAGCCUGAUGUAGUGCACCGUGUUUCUGUCGUGUUCUGUGGUGGUUUGCUCCUCACGUGUGAGCAUUCACCCUGUGGCCCUGUGUUUUUCCACCACACCUCUGCCUGGUGGCAUCCUACUGGAUGUCUCAGCCGAGCCACUCUGUUCUGGAUGCCCUUGUCCCCAACCCCUUUGCUCUGGGCUCUGAGCUGCUUCUGCCUUUCAUCUCUGUAGGAUGAAGCCCCACCCACCCUUCAGGAUGCCAGCCUUGGCAACAUCGUGAGACCCUGUUUCUUUUUUUUUUUUUUUUUGAGACGGAGUCUAGCUCUGUUGCCCAGGCUGGAGUGCAGUGGCCGGAUCUCAGCUCACUGCAAGCCCCGCCUCCCGGGUUCACGCCAUUCUCCUGCCUCAGCCUCCCGAGUAGCCGGGAGUACAGGCGCCCACCACCUCGCCCGGCUAAUUUUUUUUUGUAUUUUAGUAGAGACGGGGUUUCACCGUGUUAGCCAGGAUGGUCUCGAUCUCCUGACCUCGUGAUCCGCCCGUCUCGGCCUCCCAAAGUGCUGGGAUUACAGGUGAGACCCUGUUUCUACAAAAAGUCAACAAAAUGAACCCAGUGUGGUGGUGCACGCCUGUAGUCCCAGCUACUUGGGAGGCUGAGAUGGGAAGAUCACUUGAGCCUGGGAGGUUGAGGCUGCAUUGAGCUGAGAUCAAGCCACAGCACUCCAGCCUGGGAGACAGAGCGAAACCCUAUCUCAAAAAAACAAAGAAAGUGGAUGCGUGCUGCUCCUGCCAUUGGGUCAUCGCAGCAUUUUUCUUUUCUCUGAUGCGCACCUUUUUCCUCAUCGUGGGGUCUCAUGUUUUCAUAGUUCCCUCUCACUACUGGAUUGUGAGCUGCGUGAAGGAAGGUUCAUAGUUGUGUUGUAUGUACAGGCACACAAAAUUUGUCUUUGGACAGACACAUAUCAAUCCACUUCCUUCUCCUCUCUGAAUUUCUUUAUAUGAAAAAAUAAUUAGAGAUGGAGUCUCACUGUCUUUCCCAGGCUGGUCUCAAACUCCUAGGCUCAAGUGAUCGUCCCGCCUCAGCCUAUACUAAUAUGAAUUCCUCUACUAAUGUGAUUGAAAUUAGUGUGACUUCUAUAAAAAUUUUUCUCCCAGAUUGGGCUUCUGUUUUGAUAGUAGAAGUAAAUUGUUAGGCUAUUUCAAGAAAUUAAUAUAUUACUGGUAGAAAAACUGAAGCUACAAAAUGGCCUGGUUUCUCACCUCAGUUAAAUUUGUGCUUCUGAGUGUUUGUAUUGUAGGUGAAACUGCACUGAGAAGGUAUUUGUGGCCCGUACACUGAUUCCUUGAUGAGACUUGUUUGCACAGGAGAGUUGCUAAAAAUUACUGCUCUCAGGGAGGUCUGUGGUAAACAGGUAUGAAGAAGAAAACUGUUCUCUGCCCUUCUUUUUGCAAUAAAAUGUUACAAACUAUCUUGAGUUCGAUCCCUUUCGGGUGUUUGGGUUUUUUUUUUUUUUUUUUUAAACAUUCACAUAUUUCUUGGAAUCAUAAGAAAUUAACUUUGUGCUUCUGAAGUAGGUUUGCCUUAAUAUAACACUGAUGUAUUUGUAAGGGGCAUUUUUAAAGCUGUACUUUAAAAAAUAAUCUUACAUUCUUUUGAAGGUUUUUUUUGUUUGUUUUUGAGACGGAG
rnacentral:lncRNA from 10 species